UACGAAGGGGGCUAGCGUUGCUCGGAAUCACUGGGCGUAAAGGGUGCGUAGGCGGGUCUUUAAGUCAGGGGUGAAAUCCUGGAGCUCAACUCCAGAACUGCCUUUGAUACUGAAGAUCUUGAGUUCGGGAGAGGUGAGUGGAACUGCGAGUGUAGAGGUGAAAUUCGUAGAUAUUCGCAAGAACACCAGUGGCGAAGGCGAGUCUCUGGACAGUUACUGACACUGAGGCACGAAGGCCAGGGGAGCAAACAGG
rnacentral:rRNA from 1 species